GAUGAACGCUGGCGGCGUGCCUAAUACAUGCAAGUCGAGCGAACAGACGAGGAGCUUGCUCCUCUGACGUUAGCGGCGGACGGGUGAGUAACACGUGGAUAACCUACCUAUAAGACUGGGAUAACUUCGGGAAACCGGAGCUAAUACCGGAUAACAUGUUGAACCGCAUGGUUCAACAGUGAAAGACGGUCUUGCUGUCACUUAUAGAUGGAUCCGCGCCGCAUUAGCUAGUUGGUAAGGUAACGGCUUACCAAGGCAACGAUGCGUAGCCGACCUGAGGGGGGGUAGGCCCACCGAGAACCUGACACGCGUCCCAGACCCCGAGGGGGGGCAGAGGUAGGUACUCUACCCAAGGGGGGGAAAGCUUGCGGGAUCAACGCCGGGGGGAUGAAGAAGGUCUGCGGUCGGUAAAACUCUUUUUUGGGGGAAAAAAAAUUUUAGAAGUAACGAAGCCCCUUUGGCGGGAACCGAAGCAAAAGGCCCGGCCAACUACCGG
rnacentral:rRNA from 1 species